rnacentral:lncRNA from 1 species
GGGAGGUUCCCGGGGCGGUUCCCGGGGCGGUGCCGGUGCCGCCAUGGCCGCGGUGCCGCUGCGGGGCCGGCGUGCGGCGCUCGGGCCGGGAGCAGCCGGGGAGCCGGAAUGCAAGCGGCUGUGCAGGCUGCUGGACACCAUCCCAGGCCAGGCUGCUGCCCAGCUCAGGGACUGUGCCAUGGACCUGGAUCCCAGGCACAAACUCCUCCCCGACUCUGCUCCCUGGGCUGCAAAGGCAAAGCAGAAUUCUGUGGUUUUGGAAAACCAUGGCAGCAAAGGCAUUUCCCAGCCCUGCCCAAGAUGUGUUGCUGGAGAAUCUGGCCACUUCAGUCACAUCCUGGGCUCCUAGAACAGCAGAGGAGCAGCUCUGGUUUCUGCUCGUGGCUCCUGCCCUGCCUCAGCACCCUGCCCUGGGCACCGUCCCUGCACUGCACCCCUGCCCAAAACCCUCUGCUCCUCAGGGAGCUCAGAAUUGUCCAAAAAGGACAAGGAAAGGAUUAUUUCAUGUUUAGGUCCACUUGGCAUCUUGCCUGCCAAAAGGAGAUGGAAAAUCAAAAUAUUGGGAUAAGUGGGGUUUAAAGGUAGCCUGGAUUUGACAAAGCCAAGACUUGAAAUAAAUACAGUUAAUAUAUUUAAAUAUAUAUAGAG